rnacentral:rRNA from 1 species
UACAGAGGUGGCAAGCGUUGUUCGGAAUUAUUGGGCGUAAAGGGCUCGUAGGCGGUUUGUCGCGUCGGGAGUGAAAAUCCAGGGCUUAACUCUGGACUGGCUUCCGAUACGGGCAGACUAGAGGUAUGCAGGGGAGAACGGAAUUCCUGGUGUAGCGGUGAAAUGCGCAGAUAUCAGGAGGAACACCGGUGGCGAAGGCGGUUCUCUGGGCAUUACCUGACGCUGAGGAGCGAAAGUGUGGGGAGCGAACAGG